rnacentral:rRNA from 1 species
UACGGGGGGGGCAAGCGUUGUUCGGAAUUACUGGGCGUAAAGGGCUUGUAGGUGGCCAACUAAGUCAGACGUGAAAUCCCUCGGCUUAACCGGGGAACUGCGUCUGAUACUGAAGAUCUUGAGUUCGGGAGAGGUGAGUGGAACUGCGAGUGUAGAGGUGAAAUUCGUAGAUAUUCGCAAGAACACCAGUGGCGAAGGCGGCUCACUGGCCCGAUACUGACGCUGAGGCACGAAAGCGUGGGGAGCAAACAGG